GCAGGCUUAAUACAUGCAAGUCGAGCGGGCGUAGCAAUACGUCAGCGGCAGACGGGUGAGUAACGCGUGGGAACGUGCCCUUUGGUUCGGAACAACACAGGGAAACUUGUGCUAAUACCGGAUAAGCCCUUACGGGGAAAGAUUUAUCGCCGAAGGAUCGGCCCGCGUCUGAUUAGCUAGUUGGUGAGGUAAUGGCUCACCAAGGCGACGAUCAGUAGCUGGUCUGAGAGGAUGAUCAGCCACACUGGGACUGAGACACGGCCCAGACUCCUACGGGAGGCAGCAGUAGGGAAUAUUGGACAAUGGGGGCAACCCUGAUCCAGCCAUGCCGCGUGAGUGAUGAAGGCCUUAGGGUUGUAAAGCUCUUUUGUGCGGGAAGAUAAUGACGGUACCGCAAGAAUAAGCCCCGGCUAGCUUCGUGCCAGCAGCCGCGGUAAUACGAAGGGGGCUAGCGUUGCUCGGAAUCACUGGGCGUAAAGCGCACGUAGGCGGACUCUUAAGUCGGGGGUGAAAUCCUGGAGCUCAACUCCAGAACUGCCUUCGAUACUGAGAGUCUUGAGUUCGGGAGAGGUGAGUGGAACUGCGAGUGUAGAGGUGAAAUUCGUAGAUA
rnacentral:rRNA from 1 species